UACAGGGGGUGCAAACGUUGCUCGGAAUCAUUGGGCGUAAAGCGCACGCAGGCGGUCUGCUAAGUUUGGAGUGACAGUUGGUGGCUUAACUGCCAAAGUGCUUCGAAAACUGACAGACUUGAGGGCUUCAGAGGGACACGGAAUUCCGGGUGGAGUGGUGAAAUGCGUAGAGAUCCGGAGGAACACCAAAGGCGAAGGCAGUGUCCUGGGGAGUACCUGACGCUCAGGUGCGAAAGCCAGGGGAGCGAACGGG
rnacentral:rRNA from 1 species